UGUGCAUGCAUAGAGAACUCCGC
rnacentral:piRNA from 1 species